ensembl:lncRNA
GAGCAGUGCUCCGCACCAUGGCUCUGCCGUCCGCCUUUCCUCUUGUUGAGUUCUGAUGGGAGUGUUGCAUCCACCAAACAAAAGCUCGGUGUUUCAUAGGCUUACUCCUCCUCCGUGGCGAAUUUUCUUUUGUGACGUGUAAGUGGAGGUUUUCCUCCGACAAUCACCUGCACCUGUUUGCUGAGGCUUGGCCCGGCAUUCGCAUCCCAUUUGGCAUCCAUUUUGACUCGUCAUUCUCUUCCUCCUGGGUCAGCAUUUUUGCCAGAGGCUCUCCUGUGAAUUUCAAACCCUAGUGAAAAGUACAUACACUCGCAAACGCAGAAACAACAGCUGGUCGCGUACACGCGCCACAACAGGACCCGCUGAGAAAACCCGCCCCCGUACUGGAAGGAUAAGGCCGGGGAAACAGGUUUUCCGUGUGUGAGACUUCGGUGUGGUGCUGAUGUCUAAGGCAGAAAGAGAUAGUUGUUUUCUACUAAUUCAUACCGAACAUAGAGAAGAUUGGGGAGUUAAUCCCACCCUCGGAAGGGACUUCUGAGACAGGCCAGACUCGGUUGCCACGGGACGGCAGUCACAGUCACUUCACUGCUGGCGCUUCCCUACUCGGUUUGGCUUUUGACCCAAGACGAAAUGUGCCUCAGUGAACACGUGCACCAGGAGGAGAAAGGACCACGUGGCGGGGUCAGUUGUAGCCCCCUCCCGUGACUUUAGCGAAAGGUAAAAGUUGGGCAGGUGUCUUUGAAAAAAAAAAUACUAAACUUCUGAUACCAACAUGGAAGAUACAAAAAGGGAUGAGGCCUCAUGGUCUGCAUCAUCCAGACUUGAAGCUCAGUGUCUGUAAGUCAAGGGCUGUGACACAGGCCAUGCAAAUGGUGUUCCCUUGGAAUUGCCGAGUACUGAGAACUUGAAGAAACCACAUUUCCCUCAGGGGCGAUGCGCUCCGAGCUCAGGUCAGGGUGGGCCUGUCCUAGUUGGGCAGCACCUGGCGGUGUUGGAGUUGAACGUGAUUCAGUCCAUCGCCGGGCUUAGCUGACCGAGGUCAGCCGGCCACUGGUCCCCUGGGUGGGUGCCUGCGGUGUGCUUUCCUCGGCCGUGGUAUCCCUCCCUCCGUGGCCUCCCCGCCUUGUAGAUCAGGCUGUUGCCACAGCUUCGAGCAGGCGCCCGGUUAGGUUUCUCCGUGAAAGAUGGUGAGCUGUCGCGAUGUCUUGCUCCUAGAGAAAGGGAUGAUCUUUCUCCUUUAACAGGGUAGUGACUUCACAGAAGUGCAAAGAUGGCAGAAUCAACAGAAGAUAGUACAUGCUGAUACCGUUAAAUGUGGAACGCGGAAAACUAUGACACCUCUUCCAAACGAAAUACCAAUAUGGCUCUAGGUUUAGUCAGAGCUUUAAUAAGUGACACCCUUCUGUGUUUAAAGCAGAGUCUCUCUGUAUCGAGCGCAGUGUUCUUACUUUUUCUCACGCCCAUGUUGUGUUGAAGAAAAUGUUUACAAAAAAAUGGUUUUGUUACACUAAGGUGCAUCACGUAUUUAUGGUUUAUCCUUAAGUGAUUUUUUGUGGGUUAUUUAGGCUUUUGUCUUCGUUGUAGUCCACUUACGGUGAUCAUAAUCCCCAGUUUUGCCAAUUAUAAAUUUGCUAAACAGUAAUGCAAAUGACAAGCUGCAUUGUUUACUAAUCAGAGCUGCAAAGCAGACUGGUGGCAAGUACACACACAGCCUUCUUUUUUCAGUGCUAACUCGUCUUCUGUGUAUUAUGAAAAUUACUGUUGUCCCUCUUCUCCCCUCUUUUGUCCUUAAAUAAAGUAAAGAUGACACCU